GUGAUCGAAGCCAAAGUGGUUGCGGCGCCGGGUUGUGAUCCCGGAUAAGCGGAUUCGACUUCCGCCGAUCACCCCA
rnacentral:tRNA from 1 species